rnacentral:rRNA from 1 species
GACGAACGCUGGCGGCGUGCCUAAUACAUGCAAGUCGAGCGGACUGAAUGGGAGCUUGCUCUUGUUCGGUCAGCGGCGGACGGGUGAGUAACACGUGGGCAACCUGCCCGCAAGACCGGGAUAACUCCGGGAAACCGGAGCUAAUACCGGAUAACACCGAAGACCGCAUGGUCUUUGGUUGAAAGGCGGCGCAAGCUGCCACUUGCGGAUGGGCCCGCGGCGCAUUAGCUAGGUGGUUAGGUGACGGGUCACCAAGGCGGAGAUGCGUAGCCGGCCUUCAAGGGUGACCGGGCACACUGGGACUGAGACACGGCCCAGACCUCCACGGGAGGCAGCAGUAGGGAAUCUUCCGAAAUGGGCGAAAGGCUGGCGGAGCGACGGCGCGUGGGGGGAGAAGGCCUUCGGGUCGUAAAGCUCUGUUGUGAGGGACGAAGGAGCGCCGUUUGAAGAAGGCGGCGCGGUGACGGUACCUCACGAGGAAGCCCCGGCUAACUACGUG